rnacentral:rRNA from 1 species
AACAAACGCUGGCGGCGUGCCUAAUACAUGCAAGUCGAGCGAGACUCUUCGGAGUCUAGCGGCGGACGGGUGAGUAACACGUGGGCAACCUGCCUGUAAGACUGGGAUAACACCGGGAAACCGGUGCUAAUACCGGAUAAUCCUUUUCCUCUCAUGAGGCAAAGCUGAAAGUCGGUUUCGGCUGACACUUACAGAUGGGCCCGCGGCGCAUUAGCUAGUUGGUGAGGUAACGGCUCACCAAGGCGACGAUGCGUAGCCGACCUGAGAGGGUGAUCGGCCACACUGGGACUGAGAAACGGCCCAGACUCCUACGGGAGGCAGCAGUAGGGAAUCUUCCACAAUGGACGAAAGUCUGAUGGAGCAACGCCGCGCGAGCGAUGAAGGCCUUCGGGUCGUAAAGCUCUGUUGUUAGGGAAGAACAAGUACCGGAGUAACUGCCGGUACCUUGACGGUACCUAACCAAAAAGCCACGGCUAACUACGUGCCAGCCGCCGCUGUAAAAC